CGACAGCACGCUGAUCAGCAGACUUCUUAGCCAUGGCACCAAAGAGGGCUCGUUCUCGUAGUAGAAGUGCAAAAUCACCUGUGCGCAGGGUAGCUGGCGGUGUUACCAAGAGAAGAACUAAGAGAGCCGCCAGACCAAAAUCCCGAGUCAGAAAAGCAGCCAAAGCCGUGGCUAAGAGGGCACGCUCUAGAUCGGGUCGUCGCCGUAGCCGUUCAAAAUCUGCCCGUCGCGCCCGUCGUAGUCGCU